UUGUGGUGAGGAGCAAAUGAGAUACACAAAGGGCUUCGAAGACCUUCAGAUGCUACCUAAAUGCUGUCAUUAUCGUCAUUACAUGGCUCUUUCUGUGACACACCAGGCUGUUUCUCUACACUAGCUUCUUGAAACUGGCCUCUCCCCAUUGCCGUGAUCGCCAUGCUACCUGAGGCUGUCGUCUAGACUAGAGUGCAAUAGCAUCAUUUCUACCCCUGGAGAGCCUGGUGUGUGAAGCUUUCCACAGUGGAGCCUCUCUGAGUCCUCCUGGCCAUCCAGCUGACCCUGCCAUCAUCUCCAGCUGCGUGCUGUAUUGCUAGCUGGCCUGGCGCAUAUCACUCCUACCUGGAAUCUCCAUCUGUCCAAUUCCUACUCAUCUGUUCAUGACAGCUCUCAUCUCUUGAGCUCCGUAAGCCUUGAAAAUGCUUUCCUACCCCCCAUCUCUCCAGGAGAGGCCCUGUUUAUUUUUCCUUAUCUUACAGCUAGAACUGAGACUGAAAGAUGCCUGAGUUUAAGGUUCACUUCCUCUCUGAGGCCUCCCAGAUUCACUUCAUCUCAGUGAUCUCUGUAUUUGCUCUGUCCUGUUGUAGAGCAGUGUGAACGUAUCCUAGCGUGUAUCAUUCUCUAAGCAGACUAUUAAAUGUCCAACAACUGGC